rnacentral:rRNA from 1 species
CUCGUAGGCGGUUCGUCGCGUCCGGUGUGAAAGUCCAUCGCUUAACGGUGGAUCCGCGCCGGGUACGGGCGGGCUUGAGUGCGGUAGGGGAGACUGGAAUUCCCGGUGUAACGGUGGAAUGUGUAGAUAUCGGGAAGGAACACCAAUGGCGAAGGCAGGUCUCUGGGCCGUCACUGACGCUGAGGAGCGAAAGCGUGGGGAGCGAACA